rnacentral:rRNA from 1 species
GACGAACCACACGAACGUUAUUCGGAAUUACUGGGCUUAAAGGGUGCGUAGGCUGUGCGGAAAGUUAGGUGUGAAAUCCCCCGGCUCAACCGGGGAAUUGCGCUUAAAACUACCGUGCUAGAGGAAUACAGAGGUGAGCGGAACUUCGGGUGGAGCGGUGAAAUGCGUUCAUAUCCGAAGGAACACCGGUGGCGAAAGCGGCUCACUGGGUAUUUUCUGACGCUGAUGCACGAAAGCUAGGGGAGCAAACGGG